rnacentral:rRNA from 1 species
UACGUACCGUCCAAACGUUAUUCGGAAUUACUGGGCUUAAAGGGUACGUAGGCGGCGCUGUCAGUCGGGUGUGAAAUCCCACGGCUCAACCGUGGAACUGCGCCCGAUACUGCAGUGCUUGAGGGAGACAGAGGUAAGCGGAACUGAUGGUGGAGCGGUGAAAUGCGUUGAUAUCAUCAGGAACACCAGUGGCGAAAGCGGCUUACUGGGUCUCUUCUGACGCUGAGGUACGAAAGCUAGGGGAGCGAACCGG